AGCGUGAUUGCUGGGUCACAUGGUAAGUCCAUGUUUAAUUCUGCAAGCAACUGCCAAACUGUUUUCCAGAGUGGUUGUAUCAUUUUGCUUUUCCACCAGUAAU
rnacentral:pre_miRNA from 1 species